rnacentral:lncRNA from 1 species
CUCCAAUUCUAUGUCAAGUCUAUUAUAUCAUCAAUUUGAAGUAUUCAAGCCCGCUAGGUCUUAAAGUUGCAGUAUUCAAGUGUGCCAAGUCAUCAAAUUCACAAAUUAUUAAAAACAAAGAAGCUCACUCGUUAUAAACUACAGAAUGACUUGAUCUUCACCGAGAUUGGUAUCUUCAAGACAAUCAAAGUUUUCAAGACCAUCAUGUCUUUUAGCUGAAUUCUCUAUGUUUGCCAAAUCGCCAAGUUGAAUUCUUCAUAUUUUCUAUAUCAUUGAUUUGAAGUCUCUACAUACUUAAUCUUCAAGUUGAAGUUGAGUUAAAUUCUUCUAGUCCGCUAAGUCUUCAACUAUCCAAGUCUGCCACGUCUUCAAGUUGAAUUCUUCAAAGUGGCUACGUCUUCAAAUUUAACUCUUAUACUUUAACCUUCAAGUGAAUCAUCAAGUUAAAGUCUUCAAGUCGAAGUCUUCAAAUCUGUCAAGUCUUCAAGUAGAAGCCUUCAAGUCUGCCAUGUCUUCAACUUGAAAUGUAAAAAAAGAUUCUUCGACUAUGAGGUUAUCUUUAUUAAAGUAAUAUCUUUGGAAUUGAUUUCUUCUUCUACCUGCAAAAAAAAGAAAAGGAGAAACAUAUCUAUAUAAAGGAGAUCAUAAAAUUGCUUGCGAAGAUUGAAGUUGAAGAGAUAUUCUUGGUGGUUAGCUUUUUGAAAAAAUAAAUAAAUCAUGCUUCAUACAAUCUCUGAUUCAUGUAUCUCGAAAUGAGGACAAAUUUUCAUUCCUUUGCGCCAAAAGUUCAAAUCUUUUGGUGGUGAAGUAAAAUCUUCAAGUUAGACUAUAUAAUAGACUUUGCUGGUCUUCAUCUUGGGUAAAAUAUAGUGUUCAGCUUAGACGGUGUAAUGGUAUUAUUCCCGAACAAAGCAAAGUCUUCAGCCUAGAGGGUUGUCUUCGCCUUGGACAAUGUAUAGUCUUCAGCUUAGACGGUAUAAUGGUCUUAGCCUCGGACAAAGUAAAGUCUUCAGCUUGGAUGAUUGUCUUCGCUUCAGAUACAAUAAAUCUUUGGCUCAUACAGUGUAAUGGUCUUUGCCUCAGAUAAAAGUAAAGUCUUUGGCUUAGAUGGUGUAAUGAUCUUUGCCUAAGAUAAAGUAAGAUCUUUGCCUAAGAUAAAGUAAAAUCUUUGGCUUAGACGGUGUAAUGGUCUAUGCCUCAGAUAAAAAUGAAGUUAAAUCUUCAAACAAAAUGAAGUCAUUAGCUUAGACGGUGUAAUGGUUUUCGCUUCAAAUAAAUGAAGUCUUUAGCUCAGAAGGUGUAAUGGUCUUCGCUUCAGACAAAAUAAAUCUUUGGCUCAUACAGUGUAAUGGUCUUUGCCUCAUCUAAAAGUAAAAUGUUUGGCUUAGAUGGUGUAAUGAUCUUUGCCUAAGAUAAAGUAAAAUCUUUGGCUUAGACGGUGUAAUGGUCUAUGCCUCAGAUAAAAUAAAGUUAAAUCUUCAAACAAGAUGAAGUCAUUAGCUUAAACUGUGUAAUGGUUUUCGCUUCAAAUAAAAUGAAGUCUUUAGUUCAGACAAUGUAAUGGUUUUCGCUUCAGACAAAAUAAAUCUUUGGUAGAGACGAUGUAAUGGUUUUUAUUUCAGACAAAAUCUUUUGGCUUAGACAAUGUAAUGGUCUUCACCAAACAAAGUUGAAAAGUAAUUUGCAUGACAAGCAAAACGACCAAAGUUAAACAACAAAAAAAAAUAUUUUGGAUUUGUGUGAAUAGCCAGGUGAUAUUAACUAAAGAUGGAAUCAUAGCAGAAGUAAUUCAUCUAAAGGCAAUCAAGUCAAUUCCAAUAAAGAUCCCCUAUGGCGAUAUAUUGAAGAAGUCACUUGACUAGACUUACAAUAUUGACUGAAUUUGCAAGUGCAGACAAGUUUCACUUAUGGAUUAUAGCAAGCAACAAAUGGAUGAGUUCAUGAAUGAUCCAAGCAAGUAACUAACGCAUAGAUUAAAAAAACAAACGUAUUGCAAUAAAUAAAGUCAUGUGAUUCAAAAAUCACGCAAUGGUACAAGGCCAAAAGAAAGUAUCUGGCAUGGUACAUUCUUCUUAUAUAUGAAUAAAAAUUUCAUAUUCUCACAGAAGAAAGAUAAAACUACUCACAGAAGAAAUAUAAAACUACUCAUUGAUAGCUAUUUCGCAGCAGAUGUUGGAGAACGAUUUUUUUUCUCCUCUCUUCUUGAGUUCUCUUUGCUUUGGAAUUUUGUGUGUAUUUCAAUCCAGGCUUAUGGUGUCUCUAUUUAUAGAUGUUUGGAGGAGUUCUCCUAAUCCAGUAAGAUGUAUCGUGGCUAGGAUAUUCUCAAAGAAUAAGAUUUUAUCUCCUAAAAAUAGGAAAAUAGUAGCGUGGGGAAUUAUCAAUAGAAGAUCCGAUAAAGUUGAAGAGUCCUAUAGAGAUUGAGUCUAGCUGAAUUCAAAGAGCAGGGAAAAUUUUUAAAAAAAAUUCGCGACGGAAUGGGAAAACAACACAAAGUCUUUGCAAAUUGAGAAGAUAAGGUCGUUGUCGUUUUUUUUGGAAAAGAAUAAAGCGACAAACGCCUUUUACCAUUGAAAUGAGUAAAACUUGCCAA